GAUGAACGCUGACAGCAUGCUUAACACAUGCAAGUCGACCUGAAUUUGGGUUUUUAACUUUGGUUUGGGUGGCGGACGGGUGAGUAACGCGUAAAGAACUUGCCUCACAGCUAGGGACAAAAUUUGGAAACGAAUGCUAUUACCUAAUAUUAUUAUAAUAGGGCAUCCUAUAUUUAUGAAAGCUAUAAGCGCUGGGGGAGGGCUUUGCGUCUCAUUAGCUGGUUGGAGAGGUAGCGGCUCACCAAGGCGAUGAUGGGUAGCCGGCCUGAGAGGGUGAUCGGCAACAUGGGAACGGAGAAAGGGCCCUUACUCCUACGGGGGGCAGCGGUGGGGAAAAUUCAACAAGGGACCGAGAGUCUGAUACAGCAAUUCUGUGUGCAAGAUGAAGUUUUUCGGAAUGUAAAGUGCUUUCAGUUGGGAAGAAACAAAUGACGGUAACAACAAAAGAAGUAACGGCUAAAUACGUG
rnacentral:rRNA from 1 species